rnacentral:rRNA from 1 species
CGGCACGCCUAACACAUGCAAGUCGAACGAAGUAGCAAUACUUAGUGGCAGACGGGUGAGUAACAUGUGGGUAUCUGCCCUUUGGUUUGGAAUAACACGAGGAAACUUGUGCUAAUACCGAAUAAGUCUUUACGGAGAAAGCUUUAUGCGCCAAUGGAUGAGCCCGCACUUGAUUAGUUUGUUGGUGGGGUAAUGGCCUACCAAGACUUUGAUCAAUAGCUGAUUUGAGAGGAUGAUCAGCCACAUUGGGACUGAGACACGGCCCAAACUCCUACGGGAGGCAGCAGUGGGGAAUCUUGCACAAUGGAGGAAACUCUGAUGCAGCGAUGCCGCGUGAGUGAAGAAGGCCCUUGGGUUGUAAAGCUCUUUCGUCGGGGAAGAAAAUGACUGUACCCGAAUAAGAAGGUCCGGCUAACUUCGUGCCAGCAGCCGCGGUAAUACGAAGGGACCUAGCGUAGUUCGGAAUUACUGGGCUUAAAGAGUUCGUAGGUGGUUGAAAAAGUUGGUGGUGAAAUCCCAGAGCUUAACUCUGGAACUGCCAUCAAAACUUUUCAGCUAGAGUUUGAUAGAGGAAAGCAGAAUUUCUAGUGUAGAGGUGAAAUUCGUAGAUAUUAGAAAGAAUACCAAUUGCGAAGGCAGCUUUCUGGAUCAUUACUGACACUGAGGAACGAAAGCAUGGGUAGCGAAGAGGAUUAGAUACCCUCGUAGUCCAUGCCGUAAACGAUGUGUGUUAGACGUUGGAAAUUUAUUUUCAGUGUCGCAGCGAAAGCGAUAAACACACCGCCUGGGGAGUAC